rnacentral:rRNA from 1 species
AGUGAACGCUGGCGGUAGGCCUAACACAUGCAUGUCGAACGGCAGCACAGUAAGAGCUUGCUCUUACGGGUGGCGAGUGGCGGACGGGUGAGGAAUACAUCGGAAUCUACUUUUUCGUGGGGGAUAACGUAGGGAAACUUACGCUAAUACCGCAUACGACCUACGGGUGAAAGCAGGGGAUCUUCGGACCUUGCGCGAUUGAAUGAGCCGAUGUCGGAUUAGCUAGUUGGCGGGGUAAAGGCCCACCAAGGCGACGAUCCGUAGCUGGUCUGAGAGGAUGAUCAGCCACACUGGAACUGAGACACGGUCCAGACUCCUACGGGAGGCAGCAGUGGGGAAUAUUGGACAAUGGGCGCAAGCCUGAUCCAGCCAUACCGCGUGGGUGAAGAAGGCCUUCGGGUUGUAAAGCCCUUUUGUUGGGAAAGAAAAGCAGCAGGUUAAUACCCCGCUGUUCUGACGGUACCUAAAGAAUAAGCACCGGCUAACUUCGUG